rnacentral:rRNA from 1 species
CCCGGUGAACAUACCCUGAAGGAAACACUCGUUCCCAUUCCGAACACGACAGUUAAGCUUCUGGGGCCGAUGAUAGUGCCCACCAGUGCGAAAGUAGGUCAUCGCCGGGU